CAGAGUUCAUGCCCUCAUGGGUAGAUCUCCCACCCUUGUGUAUUCCUACCUGUGUUGCUUUGGCAGGCCGCUGGGCUUCGGCCUGGCCACCGGCUGCGUAGCUGGUGCGUGCCUGCCAGAGGGUUUUUUAACUCUGGUCAUCAGUGUCGUCUGAGUAAUUAUACAAUCGUUA
rnacentral:misc_RNA from 1 species